rnacentral:rRNA from 1 species
UACAGAGGUCCCGAGCGUUGUUCGGAUUCAUUGGGCGUAAAGGGUGCGUAGGUGGCGCGCUAAGUCAGGUGUGAAAUUUCGGAGCUUAACUCCGAAACUGCAUUUGAUACUGGCGUGCUUGAGGACUGGAGAGGAGACUGGAAUUCAUGGUGUAGCAGUGAAAUGCGUAGAGAUCAUGAGGAAGACCAGUGGCGAAGGCGGGUCUCUGGACAGUUCCUGACACUGAGGCACGAAGGCCAGGGGAGCAAACGGG